rnacentral:lncRNA from 1 species
GCAACCAGGAACUGGUGGCUGCUGCCACCUACCAGUUUUUCCUUUCACCCUAUUCCCUAAUCAGGCAUGGGCCCCUUUCCACCUAGGUAGACUGGGUCUACCGGGGGGCCAGGGAGGCAUCUCCCACCUGCUCCCUGUCUCAGCUCCUCCCAGGACUCCCAGGGCAGACCCGGGCCCUUGCUGAUGUAGGGUGCAAAUAGGGCAGCCAAGCAAGGCUGAUGCCAGGCAACCAAACAAAAAAUGACAAAGGUUUGGGUCAUGGUACCAACUAACAAGUGAAAAUUUAUUUGACUACAAAAAAAAAA